rnacentral:lncRNA from 1 species
GACUUUCUCGACUCGUCGUCAGCCGGGGCCGCAGCGCGGCCGGUGGGGACUGCGGGGCGGGCCGGAGUCCGUCCGAGGGCUCCCGCACCUCGGGCUGCGGGAACAUUAAAAUCUCCCCAGAUGCUCACUGCUCUGAUCAUUUCCCCUACAGCACCAGACAUGUUGGCAUCAUCUCUUAGUUGGGCCAUGUGGCCAGGGAACCCUUCAUGAAACCACCUCUGCAGUCCUGGAGAGUUGCUGUAGAAGAAGGAAAAGAGAGGAAGACAACACAACACAGGAGGGGAUAAGUACCUCUGGACACAAUGGAAGUAGUAGUUGUUGAGCAGAGGGAAAGGGAUAGGAGAAGGAUGUGGACUGCAGUGCUGCAGUGCCAGGAAGUUCGAGGACCUUCAGAAAUCAAUCCAUGGGCUCCACAAGCACUGUAUCAAGAGGCAUUCGAGACCAGUCUGGGCUAGAGGUGGACAUGAGAGAAAGAUCCCAUAGCCCUCUUGGUCUUGGUUGGAACAGGAGGAAAAUGAAAACUGGACAUCCAUCUUAGGACUUAAUCCUACGGAGACCACAAGCUG